UUGGAAACUGGGAAACUUGAGUGCAGAAGAGGACAGUGGAACUCCAUGUGUAGCGGUGAAAUGCGUAAAUAUAUGGAAGAACACCAGUGGCGAAGGCGGCUGUCUGGUCUGUAACUGACGCUGAGGCUCGAAAGUAUGGGUAGCAAACAGGAUUAGAUACCCUGGUAGUCCAUACCGUAAACGAUGAAUGCUAAGUGUUGGAGGGUUUCCGCCCUUCAGUGCUGCAGCUAACGCAUUAAGCAUUCCGCCUGGGGAGUACGGCCGCAAGGUUGAAACUCAAAGGAAUUGACGGGGGCCCGCACAAGCGG
rnacentral:rRNA from 1 species